GACAGAAACAACAAGUGGAAUAACUUUAAAGAAAGCGGAAUAAUAUUUGAUCGUAAUUAAUAUUUGAUCAUAUUGGCUAUCUGAAUGUUCCCGCAGGAUCGGCAUGUAUGACCCUGCUUAUACAUGCCCGCUGGAAUAUAUGGCCGACAGAAGCAUAGUUCGCUGAAAUGAAUUCACGGGAAUAUUAUUAUUCAGAUAAUACCAGGCGCACACCGAAUUGCUUACACCAAAUUCUUCUUUAGUUUCUUCCAUCCCGAGCGACUAGUACGGAUUUCCAACUUAACGGCCGUUGACUUGCAUCUGGGACAGCAUUCGAUUGGAAUACGGUGAUACUUGUGGUGAAUCCGGUACUUUGCCAUCCUAGCAGCAAUCACAUUAGCUCUUAUCUCCUUCUUUAGGUUUUCACGCCAGUCGACAAACAACGCAACAAGUGCCGCCGGGCCGUAUUGUGGAAGCAGUUUGUACGGCAUUCAGUUCGCGAAUGAUGCCUGAGCACACUCUGAUUCCGAUAAAAUAGCAAUGCCCAGGUUCAGCUCAAAAAUAGAGCUCUGCGGGGGAGUUAGCUCUGGAUGAGGGUACAGCUUUAUUGACCUUAUCAGAGGCUGCAGACGCACUUUUGGAUAAACGAAAUCCAGUUUUCCGCACUUUCAAACAGCAGUUGAGACGUCACACAGAGAACUGAUUCCUGGACCAUAAGCUCUAGAGUUUGUAUGUGCAACAUGCAUCCUGUCCCUGUGUGCAACUGUGCAACAAUGUUGCUAUCAGCUUCAUUAACAGGUUAGCUUUUCAUCCCGGGAAUUAAGUAGAAUACACACAUAUGUACAUAUA